CAUUCUGAAUUCAUGAAAGGGCCACCUUGUAAAAUCAUGCAAUCACUUCUACUCCAGUACAACCCCUCUAAACACAUUAAUGAAAGAGAUCUCUCCACAUCCCUACAUAAUAAAGGGUAAAAUUGUAUUUUCUUAAAAUACACCGCCCUCCCUCUAAAUAUAGAAGUGACGCGUUCUCAGUGAGCCGGGCCGGUCGAUUACAGAGUGGGUACUAUAAACUAUAACACGGAUUGAAAUCCAAAAAUAUUGUGCACCUACAAGGUAUCGAACAAGGGACGUCCAUGGAUUAUGAACUCACUCGUGAGAGACCGCCCGACCCCCACGCCGCUCCGCUCGGGGCCACUCGGCCACUCGGGUGGCGAUGAAACCUAGCCGCCGACCCUACCAUCCCGCCUCCCCCCUCGCCGUCGCCCGAGGAGACCUCCAGCGCAGCCUGCGUGGUCAUCAAGGACGGCGUGGCCGAGGAUCUGGUUGCUCCCGGUCGGAGGGUUCAGGACGCCGAGGCGGCGGCCUCGGAUGGCGCGAUGGCGCUGUCUUCUGUAGAAAGCGGCGUCGCAGGUGGUGCCCCUCUAUUUCCUCCGCCGCUAGGGUGGCGAGGGACGACAGGAGCUUUCGCCGAUUGCAGCUGGCAUUGCGCCCUCCUCGCUUGCGGCCGAAUCUAAAGGUGGCCUCUUUCCCACCCGCUGCACUUUGCCCCGCCGAAUCUGGUCGCCGGUGGCCUCUGGUCACCGGUGGCCUCUAGUCACCGGAUCCGUUGUUGGGCUGCCUGGAGCUGCGAACCGAAUCGGGAGAAAUCUUUGGCUGGUUUCUCUAGCCACGAUGGCGGCGACACCGCCCGAUGUCGUUCUCCUCCUCGGAGGCAUCGUCGAGGUUCGGGCCCUCUCCCUCCCGCUCCUUUCCCAGGAGAAAUCCCUUGUCUUGCUGAGACUAGACGGCAACGACGCGUCGUGCGUGGUCUCCUUCUUGAAGGUGCCAGCUUGGACAAGGUGGGAGAGUGCAGGAGUGAUGCGCGGUGGUGGCUGGGUAUGUUGGGUCAUCGCUCAUCGGCGAGGGAUUUGGAGCAUGGUUCUUUGUGUUUGAAUUAGUGGAGGGGAUAGGGGUUAUCUCUAUUGUUGGCAGCAGCAAGAUGCGAUACCAGGGACACACAACUGCCUGCAGGCUGAUCUGAUUCCAGUUGUGGAUGCUCCAUUUUCUCGUUGUUUGUUUGUUUAGUGACGGAUCCCUUGUGCAAUUUUCCUCUCAAUGCUUGCAACAGUAAGCCACAGUAUGGACUUUCGUCUGGUAUUCUUCGUGCAGCGGUAUGUCGAGCUAAGUAUAUGCUUUGGUGCCCGGAACCAUGUCCAUUCCUUGCUCUAGGGGGAGCAAUUCCAUCUUCCGGCAGCCCGACGCCUUUCGAGCCAAGGUGAGGGGCAGGGGUCCCCUCUGGAUUUGGAGAGGAGCGGUUACGAUGGUCACCUUCCAAGGUAGACGAGGGCUCGGUUCUGCUAUAUUGGGCAUUGGCUGUGUUUGAAGUUCCUCUCAAGAUCACUCCAAGGACCCCGUCGACUACAAGAUAGUGCUUUUUUCUGAUUACUUCUAUAGGGCGUGUAGUCUUUGGUGCUUGUAAGCUGCCCCGGCAUCACCUUGUAUCUGUUGUUUUUUUGUUGUUCCCAGUUGGUUGUAAGGGUGGCUUUGUGUAAUUCCGGUGGUUUGAUGGCUUUGUUAAUUCAAAGCCGGGCUUUUCUCGAGCCUUCAUUA